rnacentral:tRNA from 1 species
UCCUUGGUAGCUCAGAUGGUAAAGCAUUUGCCUGCAAUACAAGAGAUCUGGGUUCUAUCCCUGGGUCAGGAA